GCGGCAGCUUAACACAUGCAAGUCGAGCGGUAACAGAGAUAGCUUGCUAUCUGCUGACGAGCGGCGGACGGGUGAGUAAUGCUUGGGAAUAUGCCUUUGAGUGGGGGACAACAGUUGGAAACGACUGCUAAUACCGCAUAACGUCUACGGACCAAAGGGGGGGAUGCUUCGGCACCUCUCGCUCAUUGAUUAGCCCAAGUGAGAUUAGCUAGUUGGUAAGGUAAUGGCUUACCAAGGCGACGAUCUCUAGCUGGUUUGAGAGGAUGAUCAGCCACACUGGGACUGAGACACGGCCCAGACUCCUACGGGAGGCAGCAGUGGGGAAUAUUGCACAAUGGGCGAAAGCCUGAUGCAGCCAUGCCGCGUGUGUGAAGAAGGCCUUCGGGUUGUAAAGCACUUUCAGCGAGGAGGAAAGGUUAGUAGUUAAUAGCUGCUAGCUGUGACGUUACUCGCAGAAGAAGCACCGGCUAACUUCGUGCCAGCAGCCGCGGUAAUACGAGGGGUGCAAGCGUUAAUCGGAAUUACUGGGCGUAAAGCGUGCGUAGGUGGUUUGUUAAGCAAGAUGUGAAAGCCCCGGGCUCAACCUGGGAACUGCAUUUUGAACUGGCAAACUAGAGUUUUGUAGAGGG
rnacentral:rRNA from 1 species